GGAAUUCUGGAUGGUCAAAACACUCAAGUGUCAUUUGACAACUUCCCUUAUUAUUUGAGUGAAAACACAAAAAAUGCGUUGAUUUGUCCUAUCUACAUACAUUUGAAGUGCAAGGAGUUUGCCAAGUUUACCACAGAUCUUCCUACUGUUAGUGCAAGAAUUUUGUUAUCGGGUCCUUCAGGUUCAGACAUAUAUCAGGAGACAUUGGCAC